AUUUCCAAAGCAAGCUACUGACUGACGACCGUAUCUAUAAUCAAGCGAUCAACGCCAGGUGGAUGGUAAGGAUUCGACAAACAUCCAAUGGAAGGACGACUGUGGCACACAAUAAUUGGUUGGUUCUUGAUUUUCCCGCCUUCCAGCGUAGCACACAGGUUUGCUUUUCCUUGUACUCCUUUCUCAAUAGCCGUUUCGUACAAUUUUUGGUUUUAGAGUUAAUUAUUUUAAAAACUCAAAUUACC
rnacentral:lncRNA from 1 species